rnacentral:lncRNA from 1 species
AUGGGCAGAAUUUUCCUUGAUUAUAUUGGCAGUACCCAUUUGUUUUCUCGUGCAAACUGUGAUAUAAUCCUGACCAAUGGCUCAGAACUCAGCUCAUCUCUACUAGGUGCACAGGCACCACUAGCAGGGCGUUUCUUUGUCACAAAGUAGUUAACCUACAGUAUGGUGAAGUUCAAGAUCGGAUCAUGCUCACUGGCUGCCACAUGGUUCAAGGUGUGAGCUACAAAAACCGCAACAGCCAACUGGGAUGGAUCUGUGAGUUUGCCACUGAAGACAGCCAGCAUUAUAAGGAAGGCUGUGUGAUUCUGAAAUGUGCUCUAGUUAGAGAGAAUGAGGGCUUUGAGGAGCAUGUACCAUUCAAUAACUC